AAGUCGUAACAAGGUUUCCGUAGGUGAACCUGCGGAAGGAUCAUUAACACAUGAUUUUCAAAUAACCAAACGGCGCACCCUAGAUCCGACCCGGCUGAGGCUUGGGAGUAACGCGCAGUUCCUCCUCUGGAGGAAGGCUCCCAAGAUAUUUGUCCACACGGGCAGUGCAAACUGUUCGAAGUGAGGUGAUGCUCAGACUUUGUCGGUGCCCACAGCCUCUGCGAUGGCUGGCCCUUUUUUUGCUUUUUAACCUUACCUUUCUAGCACUUAGAAUGCUGGACUGUGCUCGAGGGGGAUUGAGCUCUUCAUGAGUUCUCCUUUUCCGAGGGCCUGCCUGGCGAUCCUUGAGUGAGUCCUCUGGGCUUUGCUCAUCGGAAUAAAACACAACUCUUAACAGCGGAUAUCUCGGUUCUC
rnacentral:misc_RNA from 1 species